rnacentral:rRNA from 1 species
UUUGCUUAAAAUAAAAGGUCCAGCCUGCCCAGUGACACUGUUCAACGGCCGCGGUAUCCUAACCGUGCGAAGGUAGCGUAAUCACUUGUUCUUUAAAUGAGGACUAGUAUGAAAGGCACCACGAGAGUCAUACUGUCUCCUCUUUCCAAUCAGUUAAACUAAUCUCCCCGUGAAGAAGCGGGGAUAACUUUAUAAGACGAGAAGACCCUAUGGAGCUUUAAACGAAUAACACUUGCCCCCCCCUCCUCUCAAUUUCAGAAAAAUCUAUUACCUUGGCAUCAUACUUAUAAGUUUUUGAUUGGGGUGAUCACGGAACAAAAAAUAACCUCCGCAAUGAAAGACUCUCCACAACUAAGUCAAGAACCACAACUCUACACAUCAACAAAUUGACACCAAUUGACCCAAUUUAUUGAUCAAUGAAC